GGCCUCUGUUGCUGCCUCUGCCUGCCUGCAUGAGCCCCGGCUCGGCUAAUCAUCUGCUGACGGAACCGGAAUAUCGUCCCAGCGCUUAUGGCGGAGUUGUGGUGGUGCUGGACCAGAGGAGGCUGCAGAUGCGUGCUAGAGUUCGUGGCUGAGUACCAGGAGUAGUUUGCCAGAAACGACGAAGGCGCAGUCGUGUUGGGAGGGCUGCUGCUCUGAGGCCUAAUGAAGGAAUCCCCAGAAUUCCCUGUGUCAUCUGCGUGGCCUGCCUGAGAAAGAAUUCAGAGAGGUCUGCGAGGUCCCGCUCCCUUCAUUGUUGAUUCAGCGGCACCCCCCCCCCCCCCCCCCCCAAGCAGCCAUAAAUGGAAGCGUCCCAUUGUGCAAGGGGAGUGGAGCAGAUUUACUGCGGAUGGUCUCUCUACAAAAGACCACGCCACUGUCACAACAGGACCAGGAUCAGCUGUGACUGCUUUCACACAGUAUGAUUUAACGCUGUGCUUCACACAGCCACUGAUGCAGACACAGCUUCCACAGGCACUCAGCAUCCACACUAUCCAUCUUUUCUACAUCUGAAUACAGCCAAACUUAUUUUAUUUAUAUUUUAACUAGUACCACUCUCAGCAUUCCUAACUCCUCCUUAAUCUCCUCCUUAAGUGCCUCUGUGGGCUGUAUGAAUGUCAUUAUCAAUAAGAGUGGGCCUAGAUUUACAGUAUCAGAGAAGUCUUGAAUUUAAAGUAAAACAACAUCCAUCUGUUUACUUUGCAUUGUUGUCAUCACUUGGCACACCAGCAAAUUGCCUAUGUCAGCUGUGCAUUUUGGGCAUGCUUCCAUGCCUCCCUGAUACAUAAGUUGUGGGUUUGGUUUCCUCCACCAGCAUCUGUUAUGUUGACUGUGAAACUGGCCCUUCAGUAUCAAUAGGAUUUAAGUUUCAGAGCUUCUAAAACCAAACAAUUUCAGUGAAUGAAGAAGGUGGUAAAUCUGCAUAAUCCAACCAUUAACAAUAAAUGGACAUUUGCUUCUCUGAGCAAAGCCUGCAUGCACAAAUUAAAUUAUUUCAAAUGGAAAGUUCUG